UACGUAGGUGGCGAGCGUUGUCCGGAUUUAUUGGGCGUAAAGGGCGCGCAGGUGGUGCGGUAAGACUGCCGUGAAAUCUCCUGGCUCAACUGGGAGGGUGCGGUGGAGACUGCCGGACUAGAGGCACUCAGAGGCCGGUGGAAUUCCCGGUGUAGUGGUGAAAUGCGUAGAGAUCCGGAAGAACACCGGUGGCGAAGGCGGCCUGCUGGGCAGUGGCUGACGCUGAGGCGCGACAGCGUGGGGAGCAAACAGG
rnacentral:rRNA from 1 species